rnacentral:rRNA from 1 species
GAUAAGAUUAAUUUAUUAAUUUUAAAAAUUUAUUUAUAUUUUAAAAAAAGAAAUUUUUAUUUUAUUAAUUUUUAAGAAAAAAUUAUUUUUAAUUAUAGAUUAUAGUAUUGUGAAAGAAAAAUUUUAUUAUAUUAAAAGAAAAAUUUAAUUUUUGUACCUUGUGCAUCAGGGUUAAUUAAAAAAUAAUUAAAUAUUUAAUAUUCUCGAAUUUAAAAGAGCUAAUUAAUUAUAAAUUUUAUUGUAAAAUAAAUAUUUAAAAUAUUUAAUUGGAAAUGAAACGUUAUUCGUUUUUAAAUUUAUCUAGUUUUUAAAUAAAUAAAUUUAAUUUAGUUAUUUUAAUUUAAAAUAUUAAUUUUUUAAUUUUUUGUUUAAAAUAAGUAAUUUUUUUAGGGAUUAGCUUAAAAAAAAAAAAUUAUAAUAAAUUAAAAUAUAAAAUAAAUUGUAGGAUUAUAAUUUUCUAUUAUUAAAAAAAUGUUAUAAUUAAUUAUUUGUUUAAUAUUAUUUUUAUUUUAUUUAAAUUUUUUAUUUAAAUAUAAAUUUUAAUUUAAAAGAUUUAGUAAUAAUGAUUAAAUUAGUAUAAAUUAAUAUAUAAUUAAUUUUUAAAUUAAGGUUGAUUUAAGGAAUUCGGCAAAUUUAUUUUUCACCUGUUUAUUAAAAACAUGUCCUUUUGAUUAUAAUUUAAGGUCUAAUCUGCCCACUGAAUAUUUAAAUGGCCGCGGUAUUUUGACCGUGCAAAGGUAGCAUAAUAAUUAGUUUCUUAAUUAGAAGCUGGAAUGAAAGAUUGAAUGAGAAAAUAGCUGUCUCAAAUUAAAUUUUUUAGAAUUUUAUUUUUAAGUUAAAAAGCUUAAAUGAUAUUAAAAGACGAGAAGACCCUAUAGAGUUUUAUUUAAUUUUUUUUUGAAAAAAUAUAAAUUUUAAUAUUUUUUAAAUUUAAAUUAAAUUUUGUUGGGGAGAUAGAAAAAUUAAAUUAACUUUUUUUAUAUAAAA